rnacentral:rRNA from 1 species
UACGGAGGAUCCAAGCGUUAUCCGGAUUUAUUGGGUUUAAAGGGUGCGUAGGCGGCCUGUUAAGUCAGGGGUGAAAGACGGUAGCUCAACUAUCGCAGUGCCCUUGAUACUGAUGGGCUUGAAUGAACUAGAGGUAGGCGGAAUGUGACAAGUAGCGGUGAAAUGCAUAGAUAUGUCAUAGAACACCGAUAGCGAAGGCAGCUCACUAGGCCUGGAUUGACGCUCAGGGACGAAAGCGUGGGGAGCAAACAGG